rnacentral:lncRNA from 1 species
AUACUGCUGAAUAAGAGUGCCAAAUGUUAGAAGAGAGGGAGAAACGCCAAGAUAAAAAUCCAAAGAAAGAAAAAGCUUUUAAUAUAGAUCCAAACAAAAGCUUUAAAAGCCCGGCACAGUUAUACUCAAAUCCUUCAAUACUCCAAAGUGACGUCGAGUUGAACAUUUAAAUUCCAAUUGAGAGAGACCCAAAAAAAAAGUUUUAAUAACCAGUAAGAAGUCACCAGUUACCCUUAGAUCCUUCAACACUUAACCUGCUGAAUAUAUUAGCCAAACGUAGAAGAUCGGAGGAGGAAACUUACAAUUCAAUUACAAAUCCCUAAACCUGCUGAAUAUGAAAGCCAAACGUAGAAAAACGGAAAAGAAAAAUUAAGUUGAAGAUCCAAACAAAGAAGCUUUAAAAAUCAGUCCCGGUUAUACUUAAAUCCUUCGAUACUCCAAAUUGAACCCCAGUUCCUGCCAAACAUAAGACACUGAACCAUAGAAGAAUGGAAGAGACCAUGGUGAAAAUCCACAAAAGAAAAAAUUUAAUAACCAGUUAAAAGUCAUCAGUUAUACUUGCAUCCUUAACACCCAAAGUCCAAUUACAAAUCCCUUAUCCUGCCAAACGGAAGAGAAAAAUUUUGAAAAUCCAAACAAAGAAGCAGCAGCUUUAAAAACCAGACAAUUAUACUUAAAUCCUUCAGUACACCAAAGUGAUGUUUAGGUUUAAAACCCAUAGAAAGUCCAAUUGCAAAUCCUAGCUCCUGCCAAACAUAAGACACUGAACUGUAGAAAAACAAGAGAGAUUAAGGUGAAGAUCCAGAAAAACCAGUCACCAGUUAUGCGUACGUAAAACAAACGACAAGAUUAAGUUGAAAAUCCAGACAAGGAGAAGCUUUAAAAACUAUAGGACGAAAAUUUGAAAACCAUUCAGAAGUCACUCAUUUAGGUACAAAAUCCUAGUUAAACCAUCCAAGAAGAGGUCCUUCAAUAUUUCAAACUCGACUUACAAUUUCCAGAUGCUGCCAAACACAUGGUACUCAACAUGGAAGAUUGAAAGAGAUGAACAGAAAAGAAGUUUCUAGUUAUGCACAAAAAACAAAAUCAUAGUUGCAAUUUGCCCAAUAGAAAGUGAAAUCAAAGACAUCAUGGUUACAGUUUCCCUUAGUAGUUAAGUAAAAUCAAGACACGUUAAAACCUAAUAACAGAAAAUCCUUCAAUACUUCGCAUGCAAGAACAGUUCAAGGCCAGCACAACAAUCUACAACAGUUUUAACAUAAUUCAGCCCCCUCACAGCGUUCAAGCAAAAUUCUCCAAUUACGGGUAGUGUGACCAAUUAUGGCAAACGUGUAUGCAGGAAGCUGAAAAUAAAUGAAAGAAACAGCUUGUCAAACUGAUGGAAGACCAGAUCAAACAAAAACACCUGAGAACAAAUGGCAAAGUCGAGUUGGGAAAACUAUGAAUCUUGCUCCUGAACCCCCAAAGUUAAUCUCCAAUACACUCAGUCGUUUAACUGCACAAAAGCAUGUUCACAAUUCAAUUCCAAGACCUCAACCAAAGAGAACACAACACCAAAAAAAGAACUAAAGUCAAAUCCUCUUAUCCUUAUUAGUGAGACUGAACUGAUAACCCCCCGCAACCAAUACACCGUGUGAUUCUGCUCAGAGAUAACUGGAAGCAUAAACAACUAUACAAUUCAUGUUACCGAAUCCAAUAACUUUUAUGUGCUCGGCCAAAAUUAAAAAGCGAUAAAAAGCAAAAUUGAUUAUAUAUGAUACAGUCAGCCUAUAUGGUCAACGACGACCAAUAAGUGCUCAUUAAACGCUUACAGUCCUAUCUUGAAAGUGUGUCAACAACUAGGAUGAGGGAACAACAGGUUGGGCCUAUCAUCAUUCUCUAAACUCUCAGUCAAAAUCAUGAACAAAACACAAACUGCUAUAGGUAGAAGUCACCAUAUGAAUGAAUAUGGUAGUCAAAAGUAUCGAUUGGAAGACGACACUGCAAAGGAACAGGAAUUGACAUGUUCAUACUAAAUACAUGGAAAGAAAAUAAGAGACAAAAGGAAAGAUCCAGGGAAUUCAAACUCCAGGUAGAAGUCACCAACUCCACAUCUAACUCGAUUACACGGACAAUGUUAACGAUCAUAACACUGCAAGAAAACAGGUUGAAAUUGAACUUUGCACGAACCACUAAUGCUAAAAAAUAAAUAUGGAAGAAAAAUUCAGUAGAGAAGACAAGUUUAAUCUAGAUCAUGAGCCUGUAUUAUUUUUGCAGAGCUUUUUUUCCAAAACACAUCUUUUCCAAAAUUCUAAAUCCCUGCAACCAAUGAAAAGCAUUGGAGGUCAUAAAACAACGUGAAACAACUAUAUAAUCUAGUUAUUUUUAUAAUAUUUAGGGGAUAGAAAGAAAAAAAAACUAUAACAAGGACAUAUAAAUCUCGGAAUCUUGAACAGUCUUGGUGCAAUCCCAUACCCUUCAAUUGGUUCCUAAGGAAAAGAGAAACAAAAACCGAUUUCCAACCGCGAGAGAAUAACGCAGGAAACAACACAAAGUAGCAAAUUUAAAAUUAAAAAAAGCAAAAAUUAAACAAAUGAACCAGCCAGGUGCAAAAGCAUAUCACCAGGAUGCACUGAACACCCAUGAUCGGACAACACUGCACGGGAAACCAACGACAUUUAAUUCAAAUGCUGCUAGCACAAUAGGUUGGAAUGAACAAAAAGGAAAGAAGAGCUUCGAAAAACUGUUUUAGGAAACUAGAUUCCAUCCACUGUAUGCAUCGUGCUCAACAACCAGGCUACGAUGCUGCAUAGAAAAUAAACUACAUUUUAAUUCACAAUGCAAGCUUUAAAAUAUUUAGUUAAAUGAUCAAGGAAAUAAAAUGUAUAGAGAAUCAGAUUGCUUUUAUGGAAUUAGAUAUAUGGUCCUCUCGGGUCUUGCAAAAUAUUCUUUCCAAUAUCUCCGAUCUAUAAUCCCCCAUCUCCCAAAUACACUGCAAACCAAGCAAAAACAAGCAAACCUAAAUCUCUCCGGGAAUAAGAAUAGUACAGAAUAGGAGAAUUUUUAGAAAAAGCAAGGAUUCAGAGAGUUCUCAGUUUCUUCAGAUCUGGGCAAAAGUAGAAUUCAUCCUCCAAACACCAACAAAAAGCGAGCAUUCAUAAUCCAGAUAAUGUCGCCUUAACAAUCAACAGAACAGCUGCAUAGAAUUUUCAGAAAAAGCAAGGAUUCAGAGAGUUCUCAGUUUCUUCAGAUCUGGGCAAAAGUGAAUUCAUCCUCCAAACACCAACAAAAAAGCGAGCAUUCAUCAUCCACAUAAUUCGCUACACCUGAAGAGAGAAAAUCACAAUUCCAAUCCAGCAAACAAGAAUAGCACCCUGUCCAUAUGUUCAUCGCCUAGUUCAUUUCCCUGCGAAACUGUGUGAAACUAUAACCAUUCCCAAAAUUAUCGAAUCCAGAAAGAAGCAUCUUGAUCAGCAGCUAAGUAAAUCCAAAAUCCACAAAUCCAAGAAUAGUUCUAUAAACUAGAUAGAAAUUCACAGGAAAAACAGAUCAAGGAACACUCCUCCCCAAGCAAUAUAAAGAACAUCAAAGAAAUGAAAUGCACAGGAACAGACACAGAGAACACUAAACUCAGUUAGAAGUCACCAUUAUACAUGAAUGCCGUUGCCAAAAGUAUGAUUGGAAGACAACACUGCAAAUGAACAGACGAAAUUCAAUUGAUAUCUGGAUUACUUAUGCAUAUGAGCUAGCAAAAAAAUAAAAAACCAAGAGACAACAGAUCCAGUGCGUCCAAACUCCAGGUACAAAGUCACCAGCUACACAACAUUACUUGACCAAAACAAAAACACUGCCAGAGAACAAGUUCAGAUUUAAUUUUGCACGACCAUUAACGCAAUAUAGUUAAAAAAGAAAAGUUAAUCAGAUUAUGAGCCUGUAUUAUUUUGAGCCUUCCUGCCAUAUAUCUUCUAUCCAUGAUUCCAGAUUUCUGCAACCAAUUUAAAGCAUUGCAGGACAUUAACAAGAUAACUCCGUAAUCCAACUAUUAUUUAAUACUAAAAAAUAUUGGUGCACAUGUUAGGAGGGAAUUAUCAAUUUCGGAAUCUUGGACACAUCGCCUAAGUGCAAUCCCAUAUCCUUCAAUUGGCUCCUAAGGCAAAAAAGAGAAACAUAAACCGAUUUCCAAGAGACAGAAUUAUGGAGGAAACAACAAAGAACCAAAGCAGCCAAUAAUUUAAAUAAAAAAAAAAAGGAAGCAAAACUUAAACAAAUGAACCAGGCAAGUGCAAGAAACAUAUCGACCAGGAUGCACUCAACACCCGCGGUAACAAGAUCAGACAACACUGCAUAGGAAACACAUCCAGAUUUAACUCGCAAUGCUGCCACAAGUAAGUUGGGAAAAAAAUGCAGGGAAAGAAAGUUUAGAAAAACUGUUCUUGAUCUCUAUCCUCUGUAUGUGUCGCACUCAAAACAACCACGCUUCAAGAUGGACACCGCUGCAUAGAAUAUAGAUUCACAUUUUAAUUCACAUGCAUGAUUUAUAAUUGAAUUUAAAAAAGGGUAAAAGUAGAGAAUCUGUUCUGUUUUAAGGAAUUAGAUAUCUAAUCGUCCAUGUCGAAAAUUGCAGAAAAUUCUUUCCAAUAUAUCCGAUCUACAAAUCUCCAACCUCCCAAAAUACACUGCAAACAAAGCAAAACCGAAGCUAAAUCCCUCUACAAUAAUAAUGAUAAGAACAGUCGAAGAAUAGAAGUUUUAGGGGGGAGCAAGGGUAGUGUUCUCGGUUUCUUCGGAUCUAGGCAAAAGCAGAAUUCAUCCUCCAAUCACCAACAGAAAGCAAGCGUUCACAAUCUAAAUCUCGCCUGAAUAAUCAGAAAAACAGUCCCGUAAAAGAAAAGCCAUGUUCAACAAGCAGAACCGUAGGUAAAUCUCUAUACAUAAGAUCAAUAGUUGAAGAAUAGGAGAAGUUUCAUAAAAAGAUAGGGUAAAGAGAGUUCUCAGUUUCUCCGGAUCUAGGAAGAAGCAGAAUCAUCCUCCAAUCACCGACAAAAAGGAAACGUUCACAAUCGAGAUCUCACCUGAACAAUCAGGAAAACAGUUCCGUGAAAAAAAGGAGGUCAUGUUCAACAACACAGUACCGUAACAGAACAGAUCACAAAUUAGAAGAGCCCAACCAAACUUCCAGAUGGGAAAAUAUCUUCAAUUCAACUAACAGAUCAUCCAAAAAAAUUCGCCACACUUAAGUAGAGGAAAUCAUAAUUCCAAUCCAGCAAACAAGAAUAACACUCCGUUCAUAUAUUAAUCACGUAGUUCUCUUCUCCCUGAGGCAAAUCAAUAAUCCACAAAUCCGAAUACAGUUGCAUAAACGGAAUCAGAUAAUAAUUCACAGUAAAAGCCUAUCAAAUCUUCUAAAUCAUGGAUGAAAUCUUGAAAUCGGAAACAUAAGAGAACAACACCAACACGGAGAAGACUAAAGCAAAUAUUCACAAAAAGAGAGGAAGAGUAGCAUUAGCUAAAAAGAGAAGAGUCGAAACCGAAACCACUCCACCAACGCAUUCAAAAUUCAAAAUAACCUACAAUGCAGUAUGAGGAGAAUUUAGAAAACGCAAGUGUUUAUAUACGAAGGGAUGGGUGAGAAUGGACGGUUAUGAUUAAGUCGGUGGUGAGAGAAUGGACGGUUAUGAUGCAAUUAAAAAAAUAGUCCCGUUGAUUUCACGCGGUUUUCCUAUUGAGGCGGUGGAAAGGCAUUGAAGAGUUUGGUGUUAGCCUUAUAGACACGCGUAUUCAAGAAUCAGUCCAUCCAAAUUCAAGACAUAUUUUACUGGAUUUAGAUUUGUAAUUUCUAUGCGGCAACGAUCGGUUUUGAAUUAUACUGUGUCAUUUAAUCUGGUCUAACAUUAUAUUUUACAAUUAAAAUAUAUAUUUUAAAAUAAAAUUAAUAAUAUUAUAUUAUAUUAUAUUUUUANNNNNNNNNNNNNNNNNNNNNNNNNNNNNNNNNNNNNNNNNNNNNNNNNNNNNNNNNNNNNNNAUAUAAUUUUUAAAAUAAAAUUUUAUUAUUUUAAUAUAUAAAAUUUACAAAUUUAUAUAUGUUAAUUUUACAUCAGCUAUAUUCGAUUUUAUCUGGUUUAUUGUGAAUUAUUUUCGAGUCGAGUCAAAAUAAAUUUGAUGGCCUUUUAGGAGCGGGUCCGGUCUAUAAAUACUCCUAGUGUUAAGGGUGUUUACCAAUUCGAAGAACAUGAUUAUCCGUCUGAGCCGAUUAAAUUGGUUCCGUAGCCAAUGGAUAAUUGGAUAUAAUUAGAUCUGUCCCAAUGAUAUUAGAUCAUAAUUGGUCCAGAUAUUGAUUUUGGAGAAACAGAAUCCAAACUAACCUGCGAAUCNNNNNUGUUAACAUUAUUUUUCUAAAAAAUUCUCAUUUUUUUUCAAUGUUUUUUUAAUUUAUAUUUUAUCGGAUACUCAAUUACCUUAACCGUACCAAUCCAUCAUUAGUUUCUUACUCAGCUUAGUUUGGUUGGAUACACACAAAAAAUAUAAAAAUAAACCAAUCUAAAUUAAUUAUAAUUUAAUUGAUUCGAUUCUCAUUUUACCACAAAUCCAAUCCAAUUCACUUAGAAUAUCCUUAUUUGAUGUAUAAAAGUUUUUUAGAUAAGUAUUACCUGAACACGUCAAAACGAAAAAAAAAAAAAAUAAAUUUGGCCUAAAAAAAGUUCAAAAAAUUUGGAUAUGAAUUUUUUUCAAAUAUUAUUCUAAAAGAUAAAAAUGUGUUGCAUUAAAUUUUGGAUGUAAACAGGUAAGUUUAUUCCUCUCACAAUGGAUGAGAAUUUUUUUUUAAUUAUUCCAAAAGCGAUUAUUUAUAUAAGUAUAUUUUUAUGACUAUUUAUAUAAGUAUAUAUAACAACGUACAAUAAUAAAAGUAUUUAUGUAGCGACUAAGAAGUUAAAGAGAUUAAAGUGACUAUAUAAUGUGUGUUGUAUUUUUUGUAGACAUGUGCAGUAAAAAUUUGUGGUUGAUUAAUAUUAUGACCAAGUGAAUUUACUAACUAUAAUAAAAAUAAUAAUAAUUGGUAAUAUUAACGGAGGACAAAAUUAUGAAAUUAAAAUUUCUGUUUGAAAAAAAAUUUAUUAAAAAAAAUAAAAGAAAUUUGAAAAAUACAAUUAGGGUUUCAACUUUAUAUGAGUUCUUUUAAUGUUAUUGUUAUUUUUUUUUGUAUGAAAUAUUUUUUUUACUUUAUAUUAUGAUUCUAUUAAUCUUAUUAGAGUACUAAAGAAUAUUGAGAGUACUAAAAAAAUAUUAAAAUUUAUUUAAAUAUUUAAAAUAAAAUUAUAAGAUAACAUAAAAUAAUUAUUUAAAUUCAUGUCUUUUUCUGUAAUUUUUUAUCUAAAAGUGAUUUUGAAUAAUGUAAUCUAAACAAUAUUUAGUUUACUAAAAUCCAUUUUGAAUAAGAAUUACCAAAGAUAAACCACGUUAAUACUAACUCAUUUUUGAUCAAAAUCAAUUUUACAAAAUCAAUUUUAUACAAACCUCCGUUUACAAACCGUAAUCCAAACACACACUUAAACCUCUCCUUUUGGUAAUUUAGUGACUAAUUUAAACAUUAUCUCUCAAAUCAGAGGUAACUUUUGGCUUUAAACUUUAUCUCUCAAAUUUUCGAAAUAGAUUAUACAUAUAUAUAUAAGUUAACUAAUAAUAAAUUAUAAUUAUUGCACUUCUUCUAAAUAAAUUUUCGAAAUAAAUUAUUUAUAUAGUAUAUUUACUAAUUUGUCAUAUAAAUGUGUUGGAUAAAAUCAAAUAGGUAUCUCAGUGGUUUUGAUCUGAAAGGUGAGCUUCCAGAUUUCAGUUCCAUGGAUGCACUUGAAACUAUGUGAGAUACUCAUAAAUCCAAUUUUUUUUACUUCUGUUCUAAAAUUUUCUACAAAAAUAAUUUUGUAAACACUAAGUAAAUUAACUAAACUUGUUUAAUUCUCAGUGAUUUGCACAACAAUACCAUAGAAGGCCCCAUUCCUGAUUUUCUAGAAAAUGCAACACGUGCUUUUAGCAGUAGAAUGAAAAUUUCUCCAUGAUUUUGUGCAGGAAUUUCUCUCACAAUAGAUUCAAUGGCAAAUAAUAUCAAAUUUCCAAGCAUAUGUAUGUAUGUGAGUGGCAAAUCUUGUCACAAAGAUUGGAUUUUGUUGCCAAAUUCCUACCAACAGACAUGCAUGGACAACCUUGUGACAAUGAAUUUUUAUGAAAGCAACAAGAACAGACCAGCAACAAGAACAUCUCAUAAAUUGCAAUAAAUUGUGAAAAAAUCAAGUUACUAACCUCAGAAGAAGACAUUGAGUUGCAGGAGAGGGCUCUGACUAAGGGUUUGCUUGGCGACGGGGACUACUGCUCGGCGACAGAGAAGAACGGCUCAGACGAAGAUCGACAACGGCGUAAAGACUGCGAUUAGACGACGGCGCGAUGGAGAUCGACGAUGUCCUUCACGGUGACGAUGGACGACUUGCGACUGAACUCUGAAGGAUGGCGGCAGCUCUCUAGCUCACUGGCUCUCUCAGGCUCUCAUUCUCUCAGAGUCUCAGACAUGGAGGAGAAAGAUGGAACUAUGGAAGUGAGUUUACUGAAGGCUUGUGUUGGGGGUUGUGUGUGGCUGCGCUGAGUGAAGUUAAGGAUUUGGAGGUUUGGUUUAAGUUAAAUGGCAAACUUGUAAAAACAAGUAUUUGUGAGCUAAUUCUUCGGUUCGGUUUGGUUUCUGUUAAGCCAACCGAAAUCGAACCGAACCGAUCAGUUUAAUUCGAAAAAAAUAAUUUUUUCGGUUUUUUAUUCGGUUGUUGUAAAUUUUGGCUCGUUUUGUGGUAAAUUUCGGUCCGAUUCGGUAACUCACACCCCUAAAGGUUGUGUGCGUGGAUUUGAACAUCAAGGUGCCGAAAGCAGCUUGGUACAAUAAGUAUUCCUCGGUGGCAUUGGAAGUUGCUACGUUCACAUGUAUGUUAUCAUCCUUUUUCCAUUUCUCUCUGCUGUUCUUAUUGAUCUCUCUAUUUUUGUUGUUAGUAUCUUGAAUAAGUAUGGAUCUUGGAAGCAUGUUACUUAGCCAUCUUUGGAUUAUUAUUGAAACUUAAAUGAAAGUGCCCUAUUUCUUUUGGUUUCCAACAUGAAUAAAUUCAUAGAGUACCAAAAUAUGGCAUGUGAUUGUAUAAAAAGUUUAACAAUAAUGUGGGUACAUUUUUCAGCAUUCAUAAAUCAAAAUUUUCUCUUACUUUCUUCCUAUUUUUUGAAAGUAUUAUCGGUUAAGUUGGUUAGUUUGUUGUUGUUGGAAAGAAGUAUGUAUCACACCAUUUAUAUAUAUGGCUUACGCCUUUAAAGUGAUUGUUUAGAGAGAAUCAUUAACCAUAAAGAGUGUUCGUUUUAGAAACUUUUGUUGGAAGGGUCGAAGGAGAUUUGAGUACUUCUCCACAAAUGUCACUGUAAGUUAUGAUCUAAUGUAUCUAUUUAAGUCUUCCUUAUUUUAUUUUAUUUCGACUUUAAAUUGUUUUCGUACAAAAUAAACCUUUUUACUUUCGAGUUAUGCUUUAGUUCUACUAGUAUUCAUUCUUUUUCAAUAUUCUGAAUUUAAAUAAACCCUCCUUUUUGUCUUAUUUCUCUCUGUCUUUUGUUGAAAGGGUUGAAGAAAAGUUGAGUACUUCUCCACAAAUGCCACUACAAACUAUAAUCUAAUACUUGAGGUUUUUUAUUUUAUUUUAUUUUGAUUUUUUCAAUUUCUUUUCACAGAAAAUAAAUUUUUUACUUUCGAGUUAUGCUUUAGUUCUACUAUUACUCUUUCUUAUCCGAUAUCAUGGGUUCAAAUAAACCCCAUGUUUAUGUUCUCUCCUUUUAUUGGAAGGGUUGAAAGAGAUUUGAGUACUUCUCCACAAAUGCCACUGCAAGGUGUGAUCUAAUGUAUCUACUUAAGGUUUCCUUAUUUUAUUUUAUUUUGAUUUUCAUUUUUUUUUCCGCACAAACUAAACCUUUUACUUUUGCGUUAUGCUUUAACUCUACUAGUACUCUUUCUUCUCCAAUAUCUCGAUUCAAAUAUACACUCAUAUUUAUUUUCUUUCUCUCCUUUUUUUUUGUUGGAAGGGUUGUAGGAGGUUUGAAUACUUUUCCACAAAUGCCACUAUAAAUUAUGUCUAAUGCAUCUAUUUAAAUUUUUCUUAUUUUAGUUUAUUUCAAUUUUCAAUUUUUUUCACACAGAAUAAAUCUUUUACUUUCAAAUUAUGCUUUAGUUCUACUAGUAAUCUUUCUUGUCCGAUAUCUUGGGUUCAAACAAACCCUUAAUUAUCUUUUUUCUCUCCUUCUUUUGUUGGAAGGGUUGAAGGAGAUUUGAAUACUUAUCCACAAAUGCCACACUGCAAGUUAUGAUCUAAUGCAUCUAUUUGAGUUUAGUUUAGUUCUACUAGUACUCUUUCUUCUGCAAUAUUUGAGUUCAAAUAAAUCCUCAUAUUUAUCUUCUUUCUCUCCUUAUUUUUUUUGGAAGGAUUGGGCUACCAGAACCAUCACAAGAAUUGAUGAGACAAAUAAAACGACAUGUAUCUUUCUUUGUUGAAUUUAUUCCCUUAUAUAUAAAGUUGUUACUUUUUGUAUAAUUAGUCCUGCACGUAUUAAAGGCUUAAAAUUAUCUUCAAAGCAUUAGAAAAGCCAAUUAGUACUCUGUUAUUCGUCUGAUUUAGUUUGAAGAGAAUUGAAAUUCUCAUGAGAAUUAAAAAUUAUACUUUUUUGAAUUGGCAUCCGUGUUGUGAAUCAAAUGUUGUAGUUUUAUGUUAUCUUCAAUGUUGUUAGUGUGUUUAAUUUUGAAUUGUGUAAUGCAGGUACUUAAGAACGCAUUGGAAUGGAUAGUGGCAGCAAAGGAAACUCGGACUUUUCGGGUCAAUGGACUGAUGGACGGAGUAAUAAGUCCGACGAGAAAAAGGUCUCUAAGGGGUUAGACUCACCAUCACGAGUGGGAAAGGAGAGCGAGCCGGUAGAGAGAGUUGAUGUAUUUGGUAAAGCGGACGAGGGUGGCACAGUGCUUUCAUCGGAGUCACCAGGUGGUUCAGACGAUCAAAUAAGUGAUGAUGUGGACACUUCCAUGCUUUUCAACUACGGCUACAUUGGCUGAUACUGAAUUUCAUGGGGCUGAAGAGGAUUAUGCAAGAUAUAUGGAAUAUGUAAAGGCGAUUGGAUUUGCUAUUCAAAAAGGAGAUUCCAUUAAAGACGAUGAAGGCAAUGUUGUGAGGAAAUUUUUAUAUUGCAAUCGACAAGGCUUGCAGGAGAAGAAGCAUUAUGAGAGGGCAGAUAGGAAGAGACUAUGACCAACUGCAAUGCGAAGUUCAUUGUGUUCUUAGACAAAUAGAGUGGCAAGUGGAGGAUGAAGACAUUUGUUCAAGAUCACAAUCGUGAUUUGGCAUUGCCUGCUUUCACUAAUGUCAUGACAGCCCACCGCAACAUCAACGAAGGUAAUAAAGCCCACAUUCAUAGCAUGCAGGAUUCUAGACCAGUCAGAUCAUGGGGUUCUUUGCAUAUUUGUCCGUGGUUAUCGAAACUUUCACUUCAUAAAGAAGGACAUUUACAACUAUAUCGACGAUGUAUGUCGCUCUCGGAUCAUUCAGGGAGAUGCGGCAGCAGCAAUAAGUUAUCUGAAGAGGAAACUGAGGUGGAUCCAUUAGCUAUUGUGAUGUACACAUAUUGUCCCGAAAACCACCUUGGUCACCUGUUUUGGUCGCAGUAUGACUAUGAGUGCUUUAGUGAUUUGUUGGCCUUUGAUUCGACGUAUAGGAAGAAUCUAUACAACUUGCCUUUGGUAAUGUUUUCUGGAACUAAUCACCACCGACAGACAAUACUUUUUGGUUUCGAGUUGCUGGAGGACGAGAAAAUUCUAUCUUAUAAGUGGCUGCUAGACACUUUCCUGGAAGUAAUGCAUCAAAAACAGCCCAAAGUUGUGGUUACAGAUGGAGACGAGUCAAUGAAGGAGGCUAUUAGGGUAGAUUUUCCUAAUGCCACGCAUCGACUUUACGCCUGGCACCUAGCGUGGAAUGCUAUUUCGAACAUCAAGGAUAAUGAUUUUUGUGAUGCAUUUAAGACUGCUAUGUAUGGUCAUUUUGAGGUUGAGGAGAUCGACUAGUAUUGGGCAGACAUGGUUGCUGCAUUCAGGUUAGAGGAGAACGAAUGGAUUUGGUUAACGUACGAAAAGAUGGUACAAUGGGCGAAUGCGUAUUUGUGCGAUAAGUUUUGUGCUGGAUUGAGAACGACGUCAAGAUACGAGGACAUUAAUACAUCUCUUAAAAGGUUUAUCAAGUCCUCGAAUUGCUUGUUGGAGUUGGUGGAGAAUCUUGAGCGUGUGGCUAAGGACUACAGGAACAAUGAGUUUAUUACGAACUACAAAUCUCUAUAUUCGAAACCGGUCAUGACUACAGGGCUGGAAUCAAUUGAACGGGCCAUAUCUCAAAUCUAUACCAAAGAGAUAUUCUUCGAGGUCAAGAAAGAGAUUGAAUGUGUGGUUGCGUUGAUAAUUCUUCAUAGGAAAAGUUAUGGUAGUACGGAAAAGUUCAUGUUUAGAAAGUUUCGUAAGCCUCAUCGAGUUUACUCUGUACUAUAUGAAAGCAACUCUGAGAGGUAUGAGUGUUCGUGCAAGCUUUGGAACAACAUAGGAAUUCCAUGCAGCCAUAUCAUCUGUGUUUUGAAAGAGUUGGAGAAGGAUGUAUUGCCGAUGGGGUUGGUGCUGAAAAAGUGUUGCAAAGAUGCUAAGUUUGGAUCAUUCCAUGACUCCGAUGGAGGUUUGGAUCGUAAUAAAGCAUUUUCGGGGACGGUAUGGUUCGUUGUGGAUUGCUUGCUUCCCUAUGAGUUUGUUAGCAGCCCAACAGCCUGCCACGCAUGAGUACGCUGCUGCCAAGAUAGCGUAGCUGUUAAAAAAGGUUGAAGUAGAAGAUCCAAAGGGUAAUGGUUCAACUUUUGUGCAUGCUAUUGUAGAUGGUUGCGAUAUUUUGGAUUCGAAAAUUAUCAAGUCAAAAGGUGCACCGUAGUCAAGCGGCAACAGCAAAAUGGGUAGGCAGUGCAGGCGCUGCCAUGGUUUUGGACAUGAUCGACGGAAUUGCACAGCAAACAAGGAGGACAUAUAUGUUGAGGUUAGUGUUAAAUUUAAAAUUGUUUUGAAAUUUCAAAAUAUUAUUUUUUGAAAUUAUUACUAAUAAUGAUGUCUCCAAAUUUUUUUUUUUAAAAAUUUUAUCCUCUUUGUUCUCGUUCGUUGUUUCUUUUUUUUUGUAUUUUUCUAAUUUUUUAUGAACUUUUUUUGCAUUAUUAUUUUCUCAGAUUCUUCUCUUUGGUCUCUCUAAAUUUUUUUCCUUUCUUCAUUGAUGCAUAUAUCUUGAUAUUUAUAGGAAAAGUAUAGCUUAAUCAAUGCAAUCUGAAGCCAGAAGUUCAUCACGUAGCACAUGUCUUGACUGAAGUUUUUAAACUGAUAGCACAUACGACCUAUAUUUUCAAGAUCUGCAUGCGGCUUAAAAGAUCUUGUCUCUGACCUAUAUCCCACCAAUGCCUUCUUGUUUCUAGCGAUGAUGAUCAUCAUAUUACACCUCACCUCUUUAAGCAUAGUUAUAGUAGGCUUUCCCUUCAUCUUGAUCCUAUAGUUAUUGUUUGUAUAAUUGUCAAACUUCGGAUAUUCGCUAAAACCUGACCUACUCCAUUGAUUUGGGGGUAUCCUAUUCAGAUACUCCCAAGCAUGGGGAUUAACCCGUCUGAUUCUAUCCAUAACAGCAUUGAACUCCUGAGAUGUUGUUACUUUGGCACAUCUCCACAUAGCCAUCUUCAACACAGUGUCUCUCCACUGUUUCCUAAAAUUUUGUCAGAUGUAUAUAGCACAAAAUCUGUUAUGCGCUCCUGGAUUUACUUUAUGCAGAGCAGGGAUGAAUUCCUGGUGUAAAUAAAUAAAAUAAUAACAUCAUUGCUAUCAUCUCUAUACAACACUAAAUAUAUACAAUAGAUGGACAAUUACUAUUAAUUAUCAUCUAAAUAAAUAUAGUUAGUCAUUCAUUACCUUUUGCAUGUCUGACAUGAAAUUGAACCCAUUGAUGGAUGCAUUACCAAAGUCUUCUUGGAGGAGUUCCAAAAACCAUUUCCAACUAUCCUUGCAUUCACAUUCCACAACUGCAUAUGAUAUAGGAUAUAUAUGGUUAUUGGCAAGCAGUCAGCAACUGUCCAGGAUAGUAACCUUUAAGAAAAGUCCCAUCCAACCCUAUGAAUGGCCUGUAGCCAAAGGAAAAUCCCUUCUUACAAACCUUCCAAACAAAUGUAUAUCCUCUUGAAUUUAUGUCCUGUACCUUCCACAUAGUUGGUGCUGAUUCUUACAGUAGAGCCAGGGUUAGUCCUCAUAACUUCAUUUGCAUAGUCCCUAAGAAGUGUAUAUUGAGCUAUUUCCAACCCUUCAAUCAUUUCCCUUGCCUUCACCAUAGCCCUAUAUAUCUUUUUCUCGUUGACAAUUACAUCAUACUCCUUAAAAAAGUCUUCUGCAUGUCUUUGCGUCAUUUCUGGGUAAUCACGGAUCUUGUUCUCAAUAUCAACAACCCACUUUGUAUCUGCAGAUUUGUUCUUAUUAACUCUGCUGCAUAUAUGUUCAUUGAUAAACGUCUUCACUUGAAAGCUUAACGGAUACGACCUCUUCGCAUAGUAUAUCUGCUAUGGACAAUCCUCAUCAUAACAUAUAGCCUUACACUUGGCAGAAUCAACUCUUGGAAAGAAUAUGCUUUGGCCUAUGUUGAUGUUGUACUUUCUGACUGCUUUCUUGAAUUGUUCCAGAUUUUCAAACUCCAUUGCUAAAUCCAAUCUUACUUCCCUAAUUGGAGCAUUUGCAUUCCCUUGUGAAAAUGCUACCUGCUAACUCUCUUCAUCAUCACUUGCAAUGGAAUCCAAUUCUUCGGACUCAUAAUAGUGGUACAAUGCACCUGGAUUCGACAUAUCUUUACCUUCUACAUGUAUAAAUGUUGAAGGAUGCUUAUUUGGAUCCUGGUUAGGUAUGACGGUUUGCCCUGUUGGAAGAGGCCUCACUGUUGACCUUCUAUUCUUCUUCUUUUGACUCCCACCACCAAUUUCUGGGUUUAAAUUUGGUUCGGACUAUGAACCACUGGUAUGACCCCCUUCAAUGGGUGUUUCCUCAUCACAUAAACAUAACGAUGGUUCUUCACAAUACUGUUAACUACUGCGAUGUGUUUAUUUAUGAAAGAUCGUCAUGUAAAUAAUAACUUUGGAGUGAAACUUCACUUAUUUUAAUAGAAUUUUUUAUAAAUAGAGAGUAGUUAAUAAAAAUUAUAUGGAAAUUCAAAAAAUAAUAAAUAUUUCACUGUCGAAAACUGCAUCGUUUCAUGCUCAUGUGGUAGCAAUAGAAUACACACCACUGGAGAUAACGAAAUACAUGGACAAUUUUAUUUCGUUUUGUUAAUAUUCAUUCAUGGAAGGACAUACAUAUUCACCAUUUGUUAUCGUAAAGGACUUGGUUGGUACUUUAAUUUUUUGAAUGACUAAUUAGACUAACGUCGAAAUCCUCAAAAUUCUAUUUGUCACGUUAUUCUAAAAAUAAUUAAAAAAAAUAAAUUAUAAUUAUAAAUNNNNNNNNNNNNNNNNNNNNNNNNNNNNNNNNNNNNNNNNNNNNNNNNNNNNNNNNNNNNNNNNNNNNNNNNNNNNNNNNNNNNNNNNNNNNNNNNNNNNNNNNNNNNNNAUAUUAUUAAAAGUAAUUUUUAAAUUUUUUAAAUCAUUAAAUUAAAUAAAUUAUAACUAAUUAAUUAUAUCGAGUAUUUCAUUUACUUAGAUGUCUAAAUAUCUUACGGUUUAAUAUAAUAUAAUUUAAGGGCAAUUUACAUAAAUAAAUUAUUUGUCCUUCAAAUAUACGCAAUUGCAUUCUUUCAAAUAUGAAGACGCAAAUACAUUAUUUCAUAUAUCUAUAGAAACCACUACUGGCAGUAGCGGUUUACUGGAAACACAUAAUCCACUAUAGCCAGCCGCGGAUUACAUGCAAAUGGAGGGACAUAGAAACUGCUAGAGGCUCCCGCGGUUUCUAUUUAUUGAUGCUUGGCCAUAAACCGCUACUGGCAGUAGCGGUUUAUGUGUAUUGGGACACGUGCGUAAACCGCUGGAGGCAGCAGCGGUUUACGUUAAGUAUGUGUGAGCGUGGCUGCCUAUAUAAACCCCUCAAAUGCCAAAGGUGGAGGAAGAGUGUUAUUUCUCACAAAUGGAUGGUGAGGAACCGCCAGAAGAUCCAACUCUGUAGCAAGUGGAAAGGACCCACCAGGUUGGUCACAUUUCUAUUCGCAACCCGACACAUGCAUCGAUACAACUACGCCAAAGCGGCCGACCCCCAGCUAUACCUCCCCAUCUCAUCAAGAUUCGCGACAAAUGACAACCACCGUAUAUGUAUCCGGUUCGCACUCUUGUUCCAAAUAACUGAGUGGAUAACAGCAUCAUGAUGUAGGCACGUGCGUAAAUGCAAACAGUGUCCUCGGUCGCAUCUGCUAACACCCUAAACCUCUCGUGGAACCAUGUAAAGUGGACUAUCAUCUGCUUGACCUUAUUCGGUGGUGGCAGCUUACCGAAUAGAUCCUGAAACCACUCCCAAGUUGGUCAGCCACCCUCCAUGAAUUUCUUAAACUCACCAAGGCAACCACUCACGGCCUCCCCAUCGACAGGCAACCCAAGUUGAAACGCCACAUCUUGCAACGUCACUAUGCACUCUCCGAAAGGCAUAUGAAACAUAUGCGUCUCAGGGCGCCACCUCUCAACGAACGCACUGACCAAGGGCUCGUCCAGCCAGAACCAGUGGCUGUUUAACCUGACCAAGUGGUACAAUCCAGACCUCUCUAAAUACGGGAUGAUCCUUUCAUGCAUGGGCAUAUUUUGUUGCCGUCUCACACUGUAGAUACACCUAGUUGGCUGCACACAACAUGAAAGAUAUACACGAAACAAUUAAAUUCUACUAUCCACAACGAAUCCCCCUAUCUAAUAAUAACAAAUCGCUUAAACCAUCACCAAACAAGAAAAUAAUAAAAUAAUUAAACUAUUAACCUAUUAGUCAGUCGUCAAAUCAAAUAAACACUUCUCAUAUCAUAAAAAUAUAAUAACCAAAAUAAAAUAAAUAACAAGCACAAUUAUAAAAUUUUGUCAAACUAAAACAAAAUAAUUGUACAAAAUAAAAAAGGAUAAAUAAUAAAAAAAUAGACUCAUAUGAGCAUAAACAAUAAGAAUUCCAUAAAAAAAAUACUAACACAAAGAAUAAGAUUGAUAAAAGGGAAAUAAAUUCAGUUAAUUAAUCAUAUUUGGAAAUUAAGAAAACAAAAAUCGCUACCCAAACCGAUUUGUUUGUACAGCUCUACUACAUUCUACAUCCUAACAUGCAAAGCCUAAUUUCAAACUAUAAAUUCUAGUUCCUCUACCUUACAUACCAUUUUUCUAGUUAAUAAAUGAUAACGCUAAAAAAAAUUAAAAUAUAACUGACCCCGUCACCAAUGGCACCGGCAAUAUGGGCAACACCGUUCAGUCGGUACAAGCUCUGUUCAUUUGCCAUGAUAUCUAGCUGGAGGUCGGCUCUCGGAUACCUCGGACCCGCUCUCAAGUUGCUCUGACCUCUCUCUAGAAUUUUCUCUCUCUAAACAACCUUCAAAUGACUCCAAAUGAGUAAUCUGCGGCUGCCUUCUACGGUUUAUAUAGGCAUUCACUCUCCACAUAAACUGCUGCUGCCUCCAGCGGUUUACGUACGUGUCCCAAUAUACAUAAACCACUACUGCCAGUAGUAGUUUAUGGCCAAGCAUCAAUAAAUAGAAACCGCGGCAGCCUUUAGCAAUUUCUGUGUUCCCCCGUUUGAAAGAAUGCAAUUGCAUAAAUUUGAAGGGCAAAUAAUUUAUUUAUGUAAAUUACCCAUAAUUUAAUAUAGAUUACAUGUAUGCAAUAUGCAAAUUAUCCUACUUUAUUAUUUUUUAUUAUAUUUUUAAAUUAUAUUGUUGUUGUAGGAAUUGGAUCAAAAGAGUGAGAUUCUAUUGCCAAAAGAGUUAGGAAGUAGGCCUUCUGGAGCGAGCAACAAAGUAGCGUGAAAUAUGAUGAAGAUUUUAUGUAUUAAGAGUUACAUGUUAAGAUAUGUUUAAUACUUUGUAUAGGAGUUAUUACUUUUGAUUUUCAAUAUUAAAAAAAUUAUAUAUUCUGUUUAAUGCUUUGUUUAUAAGUUAUAUAAUAUUUUGUUUAUGGAUAAUGAUUUUCUGUUAUUGUAAAAUUUUAAUAAAAAAUAAUUUGUUUAACGCGAUAAAAAUGAUGGUAAAAACUGCCUUGUUAAACAAUAAAAAGUCAUUUCACCUAGUAAAAAUGUCGUUUUAACCAAUAAAAAUGCCACUGUCAUGGUAAAAAUGGCGGUUCAAAAACACCGUUUUAAGCAACCAAAAACGCCGUUUUAAUGCCAUUUUUACCAACCAAAAUACCACUCUGUCAGGAUAAAAAUGACGGUUUAUAAACGCUGUUUUAACAAACCAAAAAUGCCAUUUUACCUUGAAAAUAAUGGCGGUUUGAACUGCUAUUUUAACCAAAUAGAAAAUGCCGUUUUAUUUGGAAAUAACAAUAGUUUGCACCAUCGUUUUAACCUAUCUGAAAACUACCAUUUUACCCAAAAAAAUUGUGACAAUUUUUUAAAAAACUGUCGUAAUAACUGGAAUGCUGUCCAUAAUUACAUCGCUUUCUAAAACCACCGUUCUUGGUAAUAAUGGCAGUUCAAACCGCCGUAAAUACAAUUAAAAAUUACCAUUUUUACUAGAUUUUUUGUAAUGUUACUUGAUUUGUUAGAGACUGUUGAAAGGCAUGCUUGAAGAUGGCCGCGAAAAGCAAGCUUUCUGUCAAUGGGGCAGAAGCGAAGAAGAAGAAGAAUAAUAAGGAAGUUUCAGUAGAAGCCAAGAUUCUAAAAACCAUAUCAGACUGGUUGAAUCGACUGGAUUAACUGAAAAUCGGUCAUUUGGCCGGUCUGGUUGUUCUCCAAAAUUGUCCUACAAAAAACCGAUGAAAAAACAGUUGAACUAACGAUUAACUGGAGAACCGGCCUAGAUUUCAAAGGUCAGAUUCGCUCUUCUACUAGUUAAAAUGGCGCCGUUUUGUGUAAAAAAGAAAAACAAUGAACAAAACAACACCCUCCCCCUUCUUUCUCUCACAAACACAACUGACUAAAAGCAACAUAAACCCUAUCAGAGCAAUCAUCACCAGAAUCCCUAGCCGCCACCUUCUCCAUCACCGAUUUCCUCUCCUUGGCCAGAGGGUGUCGUCGCCGCUAGAAUUGUGACAAAAAGCGUGCCGUCGUCACCAAAAGUGGUCUCUAUAGAUCGACACCCUCUUCUCUCCGUCGCGCUCAGAGCUCUUCUCCUCACCGUCGUGUCUCUCUUCAAGCUCUCUAUCUCUCUCUGAGUUCACUCUGUCUCACUCUUAUUAAUCUCAUUAAGAGAUUCCCGAGCAUUAGAUUUGGAUAUAUUUGUAAUCUUAAUAAGGGUCACUUCUUAGGGUUAUGAGAAAUCCAAUAGAUUUUGUUUGUGCGUGCUUGACUGCUUGUGUUAGGAUUAGCCUCCAAAUAUUCUCUAUGAAAGCUAUGAAAUAUGAAAUAUGAAAUAGAAAUUGCUUCCAAUUUUCAUGCUUUUUGUCCUGAUAUAAUAUAAUUGCUUUGUGCUAUUGCUGCUGCUACUUCUAUCAUUCAAAUCAAGACGAUGUGCUUUAUUAUGAUGUCAAAAAUAGUAAAUGGAAUGCUCUUACUUCUUGGUUGGCAUGUAGUUUUUACUCCUCCAAAUAUGCAAAUAUGAUUCUUUUUUGCAGGAUGAAUUUUAUUUAUUUUUUAUUAAUGCUUUUAAGGUAAUUUAGGCUGAUUUGAUUCUACUAAUUUUAAAAACUAGGUUUGAAUUAUGAUUUUUGUUUAGCAGAUGUUAAAAGACUUGGAAGUUAAGGCAUCCUUUGAUUUUAGUGCUACAUCUUCAAUUCCACUCAAUGCACCAAAUUAUUUAUGCUAGAAUCAAUUCUUAGUUGUUUAUGCUAUGAUUCUGAUUCUGAAUUGGUUAUACUAAUUUUUUUUGAUUUGUUGAUUCUGGUUGUUGAUUUUUUUGAUUUGAGUUGUUGAUGGUGCUAUGGUACAGAGCUUCACUGCAUUGUUUAUUGUUGAAAUUUUCUGAUUUUAAGUUGGUUAUGCUGAUUUUUCUUAUUUGAAUUUGUCAUUUUUGCCUAUUUUGAUUUUUAUUGGUUAUAAAUUUUGAUGUUUGAAGAUGUUUGUGAACUUUUAAUGAUAAAUUAUGGAUAAUUUAUUAGGUAAAAUUGUAAAAUUUUAAAUUUUAUCAACUUAAAAAAUAAAAAUCAUUAAAUUUAAAUUUUUAAAAUUAUAUAUUGAAUUUUUAAUAAUUUUAUUUUAUAUUUGUUUAAACCAAUUGAACCCAGUUGAACCUUUGAACCAUUGAAUUAGUCACUCUAUCGGUUCAUUAAUCGGUUCGAUUUUUGUAACCUUGGUAGAAACCCUUUGGAAAGAAAGGAAAUUUUGGAGAAAUGAAAAAAGUGAAGUUGAAGUAGAGUUAUUAAAUUAAAAACUAAUAUAGCAUUAAAUGAUGGAAAGAGAAGCUGUAAUUGCAAAACUGACACUCACAGUUCACAAACCGAGAAAAAUUAUAACUGCACAAAAAAAUUUUGAAAAGUUUUCUGGAGAUCUUUGGCACUUUAAAAGUGAAAAACUUGUUUAGAUUUGAUCUCGUAAAUUCGGGUGCUCAUGACAAAGGGCUUAAGUCAAGAGAUCUGAGUUAAGGUACUGGUUUAUACAAGAAUGAUACUCAUAAAAGGAGAGGAUAUUCAACAGGUAAAAUCUAAUCAUCUCUAACACCUAAGAAUAUUAUUGACUUAAGUAUCAGAGUAUUUUGCAAGUAAUCUUUCUGAUCUGGUUCCGUAGUCAGCUAAAUUAGGGAAUCUGAUUCCUUGAUCUCACAAGCUCGUAUCCUUUGCUACAAAUACGAGCAAUAAUAUAAUCUUAUAAUUGCUGGAAAAUGUUUUUUAAUUAUUCUUAUAUACUUAAAGGUGUAUGCGGGUCCGGACUCGACCUUAAAUAAUGAGCGGGUCUAUUUUUGAGAUCCUUAUUCGGCUCUAGACCCGGUAAAAUCUUACUAUUUUCAGGUCACACUAAAAUCAAGUCUAAACUGGUAAAAUCCGAGUCUUGAUAAACUUUAUGUCAAAAAAUUAUGAUUCACUUAUUUAUAAAGGAAAUAAUAUACUUGUUACGGAGAAGUUGAUAUCCAUAUUUGAACUUCAAUUUGUCCAUAAAUUCUAAUUUUAUGCUUGUUUAAUCUACUUUCUAAUAAAAAAAGUGUAAUUAAAAAUAAAACAAUAAGCUUAUAAUUAAUAUAAAAUAAUAUUAGAAUUAAUUUAAAACUAUAUACCUUUUUUAGUCGGGUUCGCCUUGACUCGAACCUCGAACCCAGCCCUAAAUAAUGACCGAGUCUAUUUUUGAGAUCAUUAUUCAGCUCUAAACCCGAUGAAAUUACACCAAAUUAACUUAAAAAAUAUUUGGGUCCGGACCGGACCUUCAGACUGGGACAGGCCAUGUACACCUCUAUUUAUGGUUGUUUCACAAAUUAAUAUGUUAUUAGUCUCACAUAAUAAAUGCAUGUAAAUAUUCUGAGACAAAAUUAUUGCUAAUAAUAAUAAUAUACCAAUAAUACUGUCUAACACAACGAUAAUAAUAAAAUGAUGUUGAUAACAAAUAGUGCCAUAAUGAACUAGUACUGAAUUACCAAAAAAAAGGGCCCAACCAAAUAUCAACCCAACCACAUGAACGGGUCCAAGCACAUCUACCCUUAGGGGUGUUCGCAGUGCGGUUUGGUUCGGUUUUUGAGAGAAAAGUCAUUCGAUCCAAUCGUCUAAUUAAACUACAGUUCAGUUUGGUUCGAUUUUUUUAUCGAAGCCAUCCGAACCAAACCAAACCAAUUAAAAUCUAUUUGGUUUGGCUCGGUUUGUUCGGUUUUUUUAAUCAAUUAAAAAAAAUACUACCAUACUAUUUCACAAAAUCAUAACAUUGAAAUCAACAAACACAAAUAUACAAUAGCUAACAAAGUAUUGGUCUAAUAAAAUUUAACGACAAAAGAAAUUCAAAUACAACAAUUAAAGAAGUUUAAAAGUUCAAUAGUCAACACAACUGAAAAUAAAAAUAAAUUUCCAUUAAAAGAUAGCCAAGUUAUACAUUUUAAUAAUAAAGAUAACAAUUCAUACCAUGAUACAUGUGCCCGAAUCAAUGAAUCAACUCAAAGUUUAAGAGCAUAUAAGUCAUGCUAACUAAAAAGGUGAAUCUUGAAUCAUAUCAGUUAUCAGAACCUUCUAUGCAACAAUAAGAGCAAGACUGCAAUUAGAUCCAUCAAUCCAGCAACCAUCUAAUCAACCCAUUGAUACAUACAUACAUACAUACUUAAUCCAUCAUCUAGAACCAUCUUAUUAAAAUAAAUUUUAAGAGUAACCACUCAACAUGAUAAAGAAUAAAGACAUCUAGAAAAUUAUCUGAUUUGAUUAAUAAAGACAUCUAUUCAAUUCAGAAUGACCUCAUCAAUAAUCAAUAAUAGCAGCAGUGAACCCUAAGUAACAAGAAAGCCACGAAUUUGAAUCAAAUGGAAAGCAACAAGAAAUGGUGUUGGAAAAUCCAAGUAAAAGCAGAGGCUCAACAAAAUCAGACAGAAGAAUAGAAAUAGAAGUGAAACAUAUUCAAGGAAGGAAGAAGAAAAAACCAAAAUAGUGCUGAGCAAGAGCAACAAUGAAUCAACAAACAAGAAUACCAACAAUAAAGUAAACAAUACCAACAAACAGCAACAAUGAAUCAAUGAUUAUUGAACAAAAAUUAGUGAAAUUACAUAGUAACUCAUUAGUAUUAUUAACAAAAUUUCAAAACAAGCAAAAUAAGUGCAGAAAACCAAAAAUCAAUUCAGAAUCACAUAAUCACAGAAUCAGAAUCACAUAAUCAAAUAAUCAUAGAAUUUGAACUAAGCAAAACAAGCAAAUUUGAACCCAACAACUCAGAAGCACAGAAUCAAUGUUAUUAACAAGAAACUAACAAAACCCUAAACAAAUCCAGCAACUCAGAAUCACAUAAAUUAUAAUUAACAAAAUCAAACCUUAACUAUUUCAUAAUUAUAAACCCAAUAUGUCUAAUUAGCUUCAGAUACAUAGAAGGAGAGAAAAUCAAACCUGAAGUCAAGUGGAUGGUAAGGAGGAAGAGCACUGGAAGAGGGCCAACCGGUGGCUGCUGUGUUGUGGGAGACUGGGAGGUGCUGGGUUGAACUGAUGAUCGUGGCCAGAACCCAGAAACGCUGCUAGUUCGUGACGUCUCACUGGCGUGGUGCUCUGCCCUGUUGAGUCAGUGGGUGGUGGCGUGUUGCUGGCCUGCUGGGUCAAAGGGUGGCGUGCUGGCCUGAAGAGGAAGGCUUCGCGGUGGUGGGACUUGGGAGGAUCUCUGCUCUAUCCACAAAGAGGAAGGCUUUGGCAUUGGGAUUCGGAGGAAGGCUUUGCAAUGGUGAGACUUGGGAGGAACGUGGGUGUCGCAGCCUCGCAGGUGUGGAGACUCAAGGACGUGGGUCGCGCAGAGGGAGAGAUUUAGAGAAGAGAGAGCUACUGAGCUAGGUUUGGAUUGGGGAUUUGGGGGGUAGGGUUUAGGGUUUUUUGCCAAAUUGGUUCGGUUCGGUUAGGGUUUUCAUGGUCAAAAUCGAAAACUGAACCGAACCGCAAAAAACAACAAAACAAUUUUUUUUCGGUUUUUUUGGUUUUUAAUUUUCGGUUAUUUCGAUUCGGUUCGUCGGUUUAAUUCGAUCCGGAUCGGUUUGGAACACCCUUACUUUAUUCUAUAAACUAAUAAUAGAGAGUCACAAAAAAAAAUCGUCACAAAAAAAUAGAUAAACUUGUGUUUAUUAUUUUUAUUUUUUUAAAUUAUUGGUAUAAGAAAUAACGAUCUUUUAACUUAUGUGAUGAUAUAUGAGACGAUAGUACGAGAUAAAGAAAUUAAAUUACUUUUAAAAUUAUCUAAAAUAUAAUUAAUUUUUUUUAGUUUUUUAUGGCAUUUCCUAAUCCAAUAAGUCAAGGAUUAAUCUGUCACAAAGUAUAAAACAAAAUUUGAACCCUCUACACUUGUUUAAACGAAAUAGUGAACUAAUCACUAAACCAAUCCAACUUGAUUAGUAUAAUUAUUUUUAUGUGAUGAUAUUUGUUAGCAGUAAGUUAUGAUUUUUAGGCAAGACAAGAUCAGGUAGACAAGUCUCGGUUGAAAAUAUAAAUUUAUUUUAAUAACUUAUAUUUUUAUAAUUAUAUUUUAAAAUAACUAAUUAUGUGAUAAUCAAUUUAUAUUUGGUUGCUUUAGUUAAAAAGUAAUUUUAAAAUAAUUUAUUAUCUUUGGAAUAUGUGAGGAAACACAAAUUUAAGUAGUAUAAUUAGGAGUGAAAAUGGGCCGAGUCAAACCGAGUUUUAGCUUUGACGAGCCUAACCCAUGUUAUAAAUAGAUGGUUCAACCCUAGGCCUAUUAUUUCUUAUAAGUUCUUUUUUUCAAGCUCGAUCCUAACCUGUUUAAAAUUCGACAAGCCCACAAGCCUAUUUGAAAAGUCUGUUUCGUGAACUAAAAUUCAAAAUAAUAAAAUUAAAAUUUCUAAAUUAACAUUAAUUUCAGUCCAAAAAUUAUAAUUCAUAAUUUGUCAAGCAUAAUUCAUUUAUAUAUCAAUUGUUAAUCACAUAUCAUAACCAUACUUAUAAUCCAUAAACUUUUUCUUUGAACAAUAAAACUACAAUCUUAACUAAUCUUGACUAUUAAUUCUUUUUAGUUUUGUUUUGUGUUUAAUAUAAGUAAAAAGUUAAAAGUCUAAACUAAAAAUAAUUUAUUUUCACGAAAAAAUAUUUUAACGAGUCAGGUCCAAUGAAUUUUGUAGGCUUUUUUUAAGCCUAUGACUUGACUUUUUUAACUAACAGGCUUUACAAAAAGUCCAAAUCUAGCCUGUUUAAUAAAACAAGCUGAGUCUAAAAUGCCAACUGUACCUAUCCGACCAAUCCACCCAUCACUUUUAUCAUUCUGUUCACAGGAAUCUUUGAGAUAAUUUUGUAAAUACUACCAAUCAUACUAAUUGACCUAAAAUCCUUCAGCUCUUUUUCAAAUAAUUCAGUUUUGAGACAAAGGGUUACCCAAGUCAUGUUGAUAGAACUAGAUAGGUACCCUAUUAUAAGAAAUCUAGGACCAACUCGCUAAAAUCACUUCCAAUGAUCUCCCACGUAUUUUUGAUGAAAUACAUAUUAAAGUAAUUUGGACCUAGUGUCUUUGAAGAACCACAACUCCACACUACCUCUUUGAUCUCUUUUAGUAGUGAGAUCUUCUUCAAAUCAGCAGCUUGCUCUUAGUAGUUUUGUUAAGAAAACCUUCUUGUAUUUUAAUAUUUGGUAUCGUAUCUUAUUUGUAUAAAUUCUUGAAAAAAUCUUUUUGCUUCAUUUUUUAUCCUUUUAGGACCUCUGAAUUUUCUACUUUUUAUUUUGAGUUUCAAUGUCUAUUUUUUUUACGUUUAAUUGUUGCCCUUAUAUGAAAAUAUUUAAUAUUUUUAUCUGUCUCUUUGAUAUAUUUAUCUCUUGACAUUUGUCUUCAAUAGUCUCCUUUCUUUUUAUAUCAUUAAGGAAUAUAAUUAUUUGAAGCAUAUUUGCUGCUCAGGCAAUUAUUUUUUAGCUACGAAUUGUUUUAGCUGGCCAAUCUACAACAUCGUUUACAUUAAUAACAUGAGUAAACUACAAUUUCCACCCAUAAAAGUUGAAAACGCUGACGAAUCUACCCAUAGAAGAAAGAAAUUACCAAAUGUACCCAUCAAUAAUGACUUCUGUGUGUCGAAAUUACCCAAUCGUUAUUUCGGCGUUGACUCCAUUAGUAACCCUCCCUACAUGGCACGUUAUGGUGUUACGUGGCCAAGAAGGUCUUCAUACGUGGUCUGAUAAACUAUGUGACUGUUAUAAUGAACCCUAACUCCUAAAAUUUCUCAAAUUUAAAAAUUUUCUCAUCUCUAACACAAACCCUAGCCUUAGUUUAACAAAAUUCUUUAAAGAUAUUCCAAUGUCAAUACGGAGACUCUUUAUCCCACCUUUGAAUGGGAGUUGUAGUUUGGAAGUUCAAUUUUAAAGCGGGUGCAUGAUAGGAAGUUCAAUGGAAGAUGCUUUUGUGGGUUGGAUAUGACCUUGUUGCAGUCGGGAACGACAAUAAAUCCUGGGAGGUGGUUCGUCCGCUGUCCCAAACGGAAGGUAUACCCUUUGUACACUUUGUUUUAUUCGAAGUGAAUAUGUCUCUAAUGUAAAUUUUUUUUGCCAUUGAUAGACUUCAAACUGCAGUUACUUUGUAUAGGUAGAAUAAAUCGAAGGUCAGUGGAAAGGUUUGAGGAGAGCUUGUUCAGAAAGAAAGAUGCAUAAAAAUAUUCUUAAGGCAGAGGUUGAGGUGAAGAUGCUCAUGAAGUUAGGGAAAAUUGAAGCUGAAGUUACCAAAGGUUUUGGCUUGUGACUAUGUCAAUCUUUAUGGUAUUUAACUUUGUGUGCAAUGUGUAUCUGAUUUUGAGUAGGUUUUGAAUCUCAAUAAUUCUUCGUGUAUGAUUAUGCAAUGCCAUGGCUAGUAGUUUCGUGUCUAUUCGAUAUUUUUGUGUGGCUGAUAUGUUUGGUUGUGUUGUCUUUGUUAUGACAAAAAUAACCAUACUUGAUUGAAAGAUUGACAUUUAUACACAUGACACAUUAAAAAAAAUGUUAAAUGUGAUCUUGCAAAAUAUAAAACUUGCACAAUAUAUCCCUUAAUAACUAGUAUUUUUGUUGACUGUUAAGGUAUGCCAAAAUAAGAUGAAAUAUAAGUAAAAUAGCAUGCUAUGUAAGUAGUGACUGAGCCACUGAUACAUGCAAAAUAAGUGUCAUUAUCAAUCAUGAUGAUCAAUCCAAACCAAAAACCAAAACAUAAGCAAAAUAGAGUAAAGUAUGUGACAUAUCCAACAAAAUAACAUAAACUACAUAUUAGUUGUCCACUGUGAACUAGAAGAAACAAAACACCCUAAAAUUUAAACAUGUUUGCUUCAUGGAUUUGGAGUAGAAUUGCUGCUUCCACUUAAUUCUCCAUUCAAUUGUGCAGUGGUUGACCCCUUUUUUUGCUGGUGGUCUAAAGCCUGGUCGGGGCCACCUAAUUGACCUUGAUCCUUUCAUUUUAGGAGUUGACAUGAAGUCUAUGAACCUUGAAGUAGUUUUCUGAGAGGCAGCUUGCAUGGCUUGAGGUGUCACAGUGGGGGGCAACCGAGAUAUUAGAGGUGAUGACCUUACUGAUGAUUGUUUAUUUGUUGCUGGUUGUCUCACAAGUGAUUGAGCAAGUGAUGGUAGCUGAGUACCAUUUUGAGUGGAUGAUGGGGGGUUUUUUCAAAUUCUUUUUUUCUUAGGGGUCUUUUUGCACUUGGUGGCCUAACUGAAGGAGGCCUAACUGGAACAGGAAUAGGUUGUAGAAUUGUUAGAGUUUCCUGCAACAGUUGGUACAUAUUAGUGUUAUUUAAAAAUAAAUUAUAAAAUUAAGUAGUUAAGAACAUUAUUGGAUGGACUUUUGGGGGUUGAGCUGCUACUGCUUCAGCUGCUUCAACAACUUCCAUUGUUUCCUCCCAGAACAUCUCUUCUAAUCUUGUUGUCUUCUCUUCAUCGUCUACAGCAGCUCCAUUAGCAGAAGGUUGUUGAGUUGAACUUUGUCUUCCUACACUCCCAGCCAUUGCUUCCUUCUUCUUGGGACAACUAUGACUAUUGUGACCAGUCUCUAACAAAAAUUUUAUGCAUAUAAAAGUGUCAUUAAUUAUAAUACUAAAUUAACCAGGAAUGAAUUUGUAUAUCUUUAAGCAAUACCUGCAGGUAAUGGGGCCAUAUUUUUUGGGAGCCCUAUGAGGAUCUAGAUUGAGAUCUUUUGGUCCAUCAUUCUUUUUGUCUCUUUUCAACUUUGGUCUCCCAAUUUGCUUCUUGUAAACUAGGGGUAAUAUUAGAAGUAAAUCCACAUGUUACCAGUAUUUUUGACUUGGGACAGGUUGAAUAACAAAUUGGUAUGUUCUAUUAUGUGCCCCCAUAGAGAGUCAAUUGUGUGUAUGUUCUUCUGGUCUCCUAUUCUGGUAUACAAGGAUAGCACAUGCCUGCCUACAGGACAAUCCAAUUAAUUGCCAAAAUUUGCAACUACAAGUCCUCUUUCCAAGAUCAACCAUAACCUUGUGUGGCAAGCACUGAAUUUCAUAGAUAUUUUUAGGAUCAUCUCCUGUGGAAAAUAGCCUCCACUUAUUACUCUCUCUCUUUUCUCUUUCUCCAACCUACUCUGCUUCACAGGAGUGAUAACUUCAUUAUAUCCCACCAAUGUCUUCUUGUUUCUAGCGAUGAUGCUCAUCAUAUAACACCUCACCUCUUUAAUCAUAGUUAUAGUAGGCUUCCCUCUCAUCUUGAUCCUAUAGUUAUUGUUUGUGUAAUUGUCAAACUUUGAAUAUUCGCUAAAACCCGACCUACUCCAUUGAUUUGGGGGUAUCCUAUUCAGAUACUCCCAAGCCUGGGGAUUAACCCAUCUGAUUCUAUCCAUAACAGCAUUGAACUCUUGAGAUGUUGUUACUUUGGCAUAUCUCCACAUAGCCAUCUUCAACACAGUGUCUCCCCACUGUUUCCUAAAAUUUUGUCAGAUGUACAUAGCAUAAAAUCUGUUAUGUGCUCCUGGAUUUACUUCAUGCAGAGCAGGGAUGAAUUUUUGGUGUAAACAAAUAAAAUAAUAACAUUAUUGCUAUCAUUUCUAUACAACACUAAAUAUAUACAAUAGAUGGACAAUUACUAUUAAUUAUCAUCUAAAUAAAUAUAGUUAGUCAUUCAUUACCUUUUGCAUGUCUGACAUGAAAUUGAACCCAUUGAUGGAUGCGUCACCAAGGUCUUCUUGGAGGAGUUCCAAAAACCAUUUCCAACUAUCCUUGCAUUCACAUUCCACAACUGCAUAUGAUAUAGGAUAUAUAUGGUUAUUGGCAAGCAGUCAGCAACUGUCCAAGAUAGUAACCUUUAAGAAAAGUACCAUCCAACCCUAUGAAUGGCCUGUAGCCAACGGAAAAUCCCUUCUUACAAACCUUCCAAACAAAUGUAUAUCCUCUUGAAUUUAUGUCCAGUACCUUCCACAUAAUUGGUGCUGAUUCUUACAGUAGAGCCAAGGUUAGUCCUCAUAACUUCAUUUGCAUAGUCCCUAAGAAGUGUAUAUUGAGCUAUUUCCAACCCUUCAAUCCUUUCCCUUGCCUUCACCAUAGCCUUAUAUAUCUUUCUCUCAUUGACAAUUACAUCAUACUCCUUAAAAAAGUCUUCUGCCUGUCUUUGCGUCAUUUCUGGGUAAUCACGGAUCUUGUUCUCAACAUCAACAACCCACUUUAUAUUUGUAGAUUUGUUCUUAUUGACUCUGCUGCAUAUAUGUUCAUUGAUAAACGUCUUCACUUGAAAGCUUAACAGAUACGACCUAUUCGCAAAGUAUAUCUGCUAUGGACAAUCCUCAUCAAAACAUAUAGCCUUACACUUGGCAGAAUCAACUCUUUGAAAGAAUAUGCUUUGGCCUAUGGAAUCCAAUUCUUUGGACUCAUAAUAGGGGUACCAUGCACCUGGAUUCGACAUAUCUUUACCUUCCACAUGUAUAAAUAUUGAAGGAUGCUUAUUUGGAUCCUGGUUAGGUAUGAAGGUUUGCCCUGUUGGAGGAGGCCUCACUGUUGACCUUCUGUUCUUCUUCUUUUGACUCCCACCACCAAUUUCUGGGUUUAAAUUUGGUUCAGACUAUGAACCACUGGUAUGACCCCCUUCAACGGGUGUUUUCUCAUCAUUCUGGAUGCCAGUAUCCUAAGAAUCUGGUUCAUUGCAAGGUUGUGAGAUGUAUUGUGUAAAAAUCUUAACAGAUUCUGCAGUAACAUUGUUAGCUGUGAGAGCAACUGACACUAUAGAGACUGAAUUUUGGUGUCCAAUUUCUUCACUUGCAACUAGUAUUUGUAAUGGUUGAGUGUGUGAAGGAGUCUUCUCCAAAGGUUAGGAGGGUGUUAAGGGAGAUUAAGAGGUAAGUAAAUUGGGUUGGGUGCCUUCAUCUAGAUGCUAAAUGCUUGUUGAUGGCUCUUGGAAGGUUAGUUUCGAUAAUUGGGUGGGUAUUCUGGUUGAUGUGUGGUUUUUUGUAAUAGGUUGAAAAUCUUUGUCUUGUACCUCAUCUCCUGUUUGGACCUCCUGUCCAGGCCCACCAUCAUCCUUGUAAUGAGUAUUACCUGCUUCUGUCUCACUCAUCUUCAACACUCUCUUUGUUCUGUUCUUCUUCUUUGAAGUUGGGAUUCUCCUGACACAGGAUUUGGGUCUAUGCUUAAUUAGGGUCCUACUAACAUUUAAAAUCUCAACUUCUGGUUCAAGAGCUUUGUUUCCUUCUACGAAAUCGAGAAAGUUAACCGGAUGCUCAGUGAACAACUCAACUCUCCUCCCAUUAGCAAUGUCUGACUUCAUACAUGAUCACAACAUCCAUGUCAAUUCCCAGCAACUUUAACCCACCAUCCAACUCCUUUCCAGGUUGCAUCCAGUAAAACUCGCUCACAUCAAUGUACCCUAUAUCCUUUAGUAAGUUAGUUAUGAAGAACCUAUUUAAAGUAUCCAUAUUUACUCUUUCAAUCUCCGUUUUCUCACCACCAACCUAUACCAACUUCCCAUCAUCACCCUUUUCAAACUUUUCUUUGUGACUAAUAACCAAUGUAAUGUGGAUGGUAGCCAUCUGUACAGAGACAUACACAGACAACACAUCAUUCAUGAUGCAACCACACUACUAACGAAAUGUAAUCUAAACAUUGGAUGUCUAGCCAAAGAAGAACAUCAAAACCAGAUCAGUCCUAAAUAACAGGUAAUCACAUGCCAUCUUCAUACUAGGUUAACUAAAAAAAAUUGAACCAAUACAAACAAACCCUAAUCAAAAUCUUAAAUCGACAACCAUGCAUCUAAAACUGAGAAAUUGACAUCAAAGGAAUGAUAGAUUACUACUUACCUAUGAAUGGCACCACAUACUUCUAAGAGGUAAGACGUUCCACACCAACAAACAUUCUAUCUUCAAUACGAUGGUUAUUGUUUACAACUAACCUACACAGAAAUGGGAUGUAAUGUUUGAGUGAAGAAGAAGAACUGGUUGGCUCUGCUAGGACUCUGACUUCUAUUUUGUGAAACGUACAAAUAUGAAUAGUCUUUAUAACUCAUAAUUUCUAAUUUCUAUUUUUUUAAAUAAAUUUCUAACUACCAUUUAUAUCUUAAUAAAAAAUAAAUUAUAAUUUCCAUGUAUGUAGACCCCCUAGGCCACAUAACGCUGUAACAUGCCACGUAGGGAGGAUUACCAACGGAGUCAAUGUCAGAGUAAUGAUUGGGUAAUUUCAACAAACGGAAGUCAUUAUUAAUGGAUACGUUUAGUAAUUUCUUUUUUUUAUGGAUAUGUUCGUCAGCAUUUUCAACUUUCAUAGGUAGAAAUGGUAGUUUACUCUUAAUAACAUCAUAUCGUAUCAUUUCAACUAUCACAUUAUCCUCCUGUAUUGUAUUGAGCUUGAAAUGCAAUCAUUGAAAUUCUCUAAACAUUAUUGAAGUUAGAAUUUAACAUCCAUAAUCCUAUUGGACAAAACUAGUAGUAUCCAUACAAAUUCAUCAGGGAAUCUGAUUUGAACUACUAAAUAAUUACUAGGGGUGUAAGUUACCGAAUUGGACUGAAAAAUACUGCAAAACCGAACCGAAGAUUACAACAACCGAAUAAAAAACCAAAAAAUCGAUUUUUUUAAUUAAACCGAUCGGUUCGGUUCAGUUUUUGAUUGGCUUGGUAGAAACCGAACUGAACCGAACCGAGGAAGAUGUUCCAUUGUGGUUCUUUUUAUUGGUUUACCCUAAAUUUGAAUACCCUCACUCUCUUUUCCUUUCACUUGCGCAGUCACCCUUAGUCUUCACACAGACACCCACUCAUCCAGCAGCACUUUAGUCACCAAGCCCUCUUCUGCAAAAAGCAACUGAACAAUGUCUUCUUCGGAGGUUAGAAUAUGAUUUUCAAAUUUUUAUAGUUGAUUAAAGGCACACAUAUUAGUUAAAUUCACAAAUCAUUAUAUUGUUCAGCUAUUUUGCGAAGAAUAAUCCAUUUUUUUAAUUUCACAGAAGUUGACAAACGCUCUCUGUAGUCUGUACAUGAAAAGUGCCUCUUUUAUUUUCAAAAUAAAUCAACUUUAAAGUAAUUAACCAAAUGAAUUUGUUAUCAACUUAUCAAUUGUCAUAGUAUAUCAAAUUUAAUUUAUCCCUAAUUGUUGUUGCUGGUCUCUUCUUAAUUAGGAAGAUGAAUUUGAUUUCUAAUUUUGUCUGUGAUUGUUGUUACUGGUUUGUGCUUAAUUAGGAAGACAAGUUUGACUAAAAUUAUUGUCCUUGUAUGUUGUUACUGGUUUGUGCUUAAUUUGGGAGAUGAGUUUGACUAAAAUUAUUGUUUCUGAUUAUUGUUGCUGGUUUGUGCUUAAUUAUUAGAAAGACAAGUUUGACUAAAAUUAUUGUCUCUGAUUGUUGUUGCUGUCUCUGAUUGUUUAUGGUCAUUUAAAUUCUAUUUAUUGGCUUUAAAAAUGAAUUAAUUACAUCCUGCAGAAUUUUUAUUGCUGUUGCUUUUACUGUAAUGUUUUUUGCUACGAGUGAAAUAAAGCCGUUAGAAAUUACCAAGCCCCAAGUUUAUAACGACCCAUUUGGAAUCCUAGAUGUAGAGAAUUAGAAAGCAAUGAGAAGAAAAAAUUCUGUACUCGGUGAGUGAUGAUAACAACGUAUGGUGAUGUAAAAUGAUAUGAAACCAAAUUAGCUUUGCUUGGCAGCGAGUAAUAUAUUCGGAGAAAUCUAAGGCUUUUGAUGCAUCCAAUGUUUCUUUGCUUCAGAUGUGACUUCUUUAAAACUCUCUUCAAUUUAUACUAUCUAUCUAGUACCUGUCUUCUUCAAUUUAUACAUGGACCUUGUGAUUUUAUAUGGUUUUUUAAGGCAUGACAAGUCACUUUAAAAAACAACAUUUUAUGUUUAUAAUUUAUAAUCUAUAUUAUGUUUAUGUUUAUGUUUAUAAUCUAUAUUGAAUUUUUGUUUUAUUUUUGUAGAAAUUACACCAACCGAGGAAGAUGAUGAUGAGUCAGGUGUGGAUUCAGAUUAAGCAUAGUGGCUGUUUGAUUUUUAUUUAGUUUAAAGUGGCUGUUUUGAUUUUUAGUAUGUUUUAAAGUGUGUUUGUUUUUGUUGUUUGCUAGACUUUUUUAAUUAUCUUUUUUUAUGUUUAAUUGUUGGGACAAGUUGAAUUUGUAUUGAAUUUGGAUGUGAUAUACUCUUGUUAUUCUAGUUUAUUGACGAUUUUAAACUUCAUUUUAUGGUAAUUUAAAUUCUGAUUAUUAGCUUUAAAAAAACCGAAAAAAUGACCGAACCAAAUCGCUGUUAGUUCGGUUCAGUUGUCUAAAAAGCAGCAAACCGAACGGUUGGCAUCAUUGUAGAACCGAACCAAUUACACCCUUAAUAAUUACACAAAUUACCAAUAUUCAUAAAGGACAUAAGAGAAUAAGAAUAAGAAUUAGGUAGCAAGUAUAGUUGUCAAAAUCGAACUGGUGAUGGAACCGAUCAGGUUACUGGAUCACUAGGUUAUUGGGUCACUGGUUCAAUUGGUGGGUUACUAGUCAAACCGGUUAAUCCGGUAUAAUUAAAUAAUUUAGUUUACAUAUAUUUAAUAAAAUUUAUAGUUAAAUAAAAUAUAAUUAAUUUAAAAAUGAGUGACUUUAAAAUUAAAAUAAAUUGAAUAUAAAUAAAAUAAAAAAUUGCUAUAUGUAUUAUAAUUUGUAUAUAUAUUAGUAAGAAGCAUUGCAAUUUGGUGGUACAAUCAUCUUUGUUGCAUUCUAGAGUGAAAGGGUUUGAACCCCAUUUUAUCCAUUUUGGAAAAUUUUCCAAAAUUCACAAGUCUUGACACUUGACAGUGCUGGAGCAUAUGAAACACAGUGGACAUGCAGAACGCUAGUGCGUCGUAGGUUCUCCUUCAACUGCAACCCGAGCAGUUUGAUUAGGUCCGGUUUUCACUGGAUUUGACCAGUUUUUACCGUUUAGUGUAGCGUUUAAAAGGAAGAAGAGACAGGAUAACUCGGUAUUUUAUUUGUUUAAGAUAAAAAUAGAGACUUAAAUAAAUGAAAUUACUAAAAUAUAUUUAGGAUGUAUUUGUUUUGUCAUUGGAGAGGUAAAAAGCAUGUUCAGAUUUCUUAGAUGCUUCAAUUUUUGUUUGGUUAUUUUUUUUUCUUGUGAACGCAGAUGAGAUUUUUGUUCUCAAACCCAUUUUCACAGUAAGCAAAAAAUCUUAGCUUUCGUGUUCACUAACUAGUAUUCAGCUAUUAAUUCUAAACCUUUAAUUUUUUCUUUCCAACCCUACCUAUCAUACAUGUUAUUAUUUUAUUUAUGAAAUUUUUAUUGUUUCUCUUUAUAUGAAUUUUCUUUUUUUAUUAUUUAUUAUUUUUAUUUUUUUGUUAAUUUUGGUUUAGUUUGACAUUAUACACUUUUAUAAUUGUGAUUCUUGUGUAUUAUAUUUGUUAUUAUCUUUUUAUAAUAUAAUUUAUUGAUCCCAUUAUACUACAAGAAAAACGCUAAGUGCCGUCGAAUUUACCGGGAGAUUGACGAAAAUAAUCCGUCGGUGAUAUAUUUACUCGUCAGUAACUAAUUACUAUCGGAUUUUUCAAUCCGCCGGUAGGUAUUGUCGGAUUCUGCGACAAAUUUUCUUUAUUUAAUCCGUCAAACUGUCGAAAAAAUUCUGCCGGUAAUUUUAGCACUCCACUAUUUUCUUUCUCGCGUAAUUACCGUCAUAUUUUACUCUCGAUAAAUCCAACUGUAAAUUCAAUUUUUAUUUAUUUUUACACAAUAGGUGGUCAAAUUCUACUUUUUUUAUAGUUUAAUUAGGUAAAAUAAAUUAAACAAAAAAAUUAACAAUAAAUAAUAAUAGUAAAAAAUUAUAACAUACUAAGAGUACCAAGAGUAUUAGAAAAAAAAGUACUACAUAAAAAAUAUACUAGAAAAAAUAAAAAAAUUAAACAUAAUUAAAAAAAUAAUAUUAUAAUUUAAUAUCAUGUCUUUUUUAGUAAUUUAUCUAAAAGUAAUUUUAACUAAUAAAGGUAAAUACAAAAUGGUACCCAAAAAAUUUUUUCGCUGAUAAAAUGAUAUCUAACUUUUGCUAUUGAUAAAACGGUCCCUAAAUUAUUUUAAAUUUUGAAAAAUGGGUCAUCGAGCUUGUCAGAGCACAUCUCUAACGAGAAUACUGCUGAGCUGGCCAUCAUAUUUUGCUGAGAUGGCAAUAUCUUUAAACUAAUUACUUAGGUGUCAUUAUCUAAAAAUUAAAAUAACAAUAUGUAAAAAAAUUUUAAAUCACACUACGUUUACUCUAAUUUUCCCAAAUUUUCCUCCCUAACACACACUCUCCUCCGCAGUGCACUUUCGCCUCUCUCUAAAACCCCAAAAAUUGUCCCAAACUUGAUAAUUUCAUUGAAUUCUAAUUAAGUGAAUUAUAGACUAAAAAAUUUUCUUAAACCCUAAUUGUCCCAAAUUUAUAGAUUAAAAAAAUUCAUCAAUUCAAAAUUUUGAUUCACUAAAAAUUGUCAAUUACAGAUUAAUUUAUAAUUAAAAAAAAUUAAUAACAAUAAAAUCUACGUAGAAGAAAAAAUAAAUAGAUUCAUACACAACAACUCAGGAGAUUUAUUAUUUAGAAAGCUCUUAAUAACCACCACUUCUCUGUCUCUAUUGAAUCCAAGCAACAAGACAAGCAUAAAGAAGCUAUAACUACUAAGAAAGAAAAUGAAAAGAAAGAGAAAGAAAAAACUUCUGAACCUAAACCUGCCAUAAAAACAGACAAGGAGGUCGAGGGAGUGAAGUGAAAGAAACUGCAGUGGUUGAAGUUGAAGAAAAGAUGGUGUAUGCUCCAUCCAUUGAUGAUGGUGGUGCAAAAAUCAUUGAGGCUAUUAAAGAGACUGUUAUUGCUAUCUCUAUUUCAACAAUAUAGAAUUCACAUCCACCAGCAUAUAAAAUUUUUCAAGAAGCCAAGGAGGACGGGUCAUUGCAACUGGGAGAUAUCCAUUUUAGGAAUAGUUUUUGAGGAAUUUUUUUUCAAGUUCGGGACAAUUUUUCAAGGUUCUAGAAAGUGAGAGUGUGCAUUCGAGAGGGAGGACUUAGAGAAAUUAGGAUAAACUUAGUUUGACUUGGAGAAUUUUUACUUAUUGUUUUAAUUUAAUCAUUAAUUACAGCUAAGUAAUUAGUUUAGAAAUGUUGCUAUCUCAGUAAAAUACGAUGACCAGCUCAGCAGUAUUCUCGUCGGAGAUAUGCUUUGACAAACUCAAAAGCACAUUGUCAAAUUUUAAAAUCAUUCAGGGACCAUUUUGUCAAUAACAAAAGUCAGAUACCAUUUUAUUAGCGUCAAAAUAUUUCGGAUACCGAUUUGAUUUUUACAUCUUAACUAAUAUUAUCCAAACAAUAUUCAUUUUAUAAAAAUUAAUUUCAGUAUAGAAUUGUCAAACAUAAAUCAUGUUGAUACAAAUUUACUUUUAUCCAAAAUCAAUUUUAUAAAAUUACUUUCAUUCAAAAUUCUUAACAAACACCAACCCAAACACAUAAUAAAAUAUAAAUAUUGGUAUUUCUCGGUGAACGUAGCUUUGUUAAUGCUUUAUCAUAUAUUUUUUAUUGUUAUAUUGCUAAUGUCAUUUAUAUUAGUAACUCAUAUAUAUUAUUAUUUGUGUUUUAAUAUAUCCAACUUUCAUAAUUAUCCAUUUAGGAUAUUUAUAACUUGAAUCGCUAACUCAGCAGUUUAAGAACAUGACACAUGUCUCCUAAUGUGACACAUGCCCUUACAACACAUAUAAUCGCAUUUAAUCUCAUCCAAGAAAGGAAAAGAGAGACAGAGAAACUCCAUGGAAGCCACAAACCUUCGGCAUUUGAUUUCUUUGAGAUCUGUAACUCCAAUAAAAAAUCUAAUCUGAUAAAAGUAUUCGUAUUUUCUUUCUCUUCACGUUGAUGUUACUUUUGUUCGGUAGAAAUUGACGGUGGCAUAACUUCCCUUCUCCUUGAGUUCGGCCAAUCAGAGUUCUAGGAGACACAGACGAUUUUUGACGUUUUUUUCUUCAACAGCUCGGUCAGAAAGCUUCUUCGAAAUUUCUGCUGUUGUGAUUUCUGUACGAAUGUAGAAUUUGAUAAUUUUAUAAUAAUUGAAUGUGAAUUUAAUAAGUGAAUGUUCGUUUGAUUGAUUAUUAAUUGAAUUUGACUGAAUUUAUGUUGAAUUUUUGUGAUAUAUUGAUAUUUGUGAUUAAUUUAGAGUUCGGUCAGUUUAAGUGCAGCCAAGAACCGAAUUAUUUUCAUGAAUUCGGGGCAAAAAUGUUGUUGUUAAUCAAGUGGAAUUGAUGAAAUUUGAUGAUGACAUUGAAAUUUAAUAUGAAAUGAAUUGAUGACAUGCUUUGAGAUAUGAAAAUAGUUUGAUUUUGAAAACGGUUGAAUUUUUAGUUGGUUUAAUUUUAUAAAUUUUUUUGAUAUUAGAAAUGGUUUUGAUUUAUUGAAAACGAUUUGAAAGAAUUUGAAAAAAGGUUUGGAUAGGACCCGAAAAAGAUGACAAAAUCCGAGUUUUAUGGAGAUGCUGAAUUCGACAAACCUUUCAUUAAGAGUCAAAACUCCGGAAGCUAUUGCUCUUUUGAGCUAGACCAGUCUCGCAAACAUGGUUCGUUAGCUCUGGGGCUACAAUGCCACGCUUCCUGCUCUAACCGCUACCAGUCAUCAGAACAAUCCGGAUUAGGAAUAAUCCUUUCUCUUUCUUCAGAUCACCUCCAGGAGCAUUGGCGAAGACUGGAAAAGUUCAUCAUUCAGUGGUGGGGUCGGUCUUCAUAGAAAAGAGGGCGUCGCCCAACGAGUGGCAGAUUUGGAUGGAGUCUCGCUCAUAGAUAGAGGAAGAGUACGCGCGCUAGCGCGCUACGGCUUACGUAGUUGAUCGGAUCAGAUAGCCCUUUGGGCAACCAACCGCACAUCAAAUUCCGAUCAAUUGGAGGUCUGGCUAAGUGGCUUAAGGCAUUGGUUUGCUAAAUCUACAUACAAGAAGAUUGUAUCAUGGGUUCGAAUCCCAUUUCCUCCGGCACGGAAGUGGAACGGGCGAAAAUUCGUUAUAAAAUUUAGGACAUUUUUUGAAAUUUUAAUAAGCCGUGGGCUUUCUUUGUGAUUGUACGAAGACGCCCGUAAACAUGGAAUGGCUUCCAGAAGAAGGGGUCAUAUGCUUCAGCUGGAGAAUCAGCACCUGCAAGAAGUUAUGUCGCUGGAGUGCCUUAUCCGACUUGCGAGUUGAAUUGCAUCAGAUACGAGUCGAAACCAACAAAAGAACUCAUUACUUGCGAUAGAAAUAGGCAUGCAUCAUCCCUGUCUGCAUAUUUUACAUUUGGUUUGGUGUUGUGAAAUGCUUGUGAUUGCUUGAGUGUGUUUGUGAUUUCAUUGCUUAUUAAUUUAAACUUCUAUAACUGGUUAUUGUUCUAAAUUCUUGUGCGGGACUAUGAAUUAAAUUAAGCUAUAAUAAUCCCAACUUAACUAACUCUCCCGACCCUACUAAAAACUUCUCAGUUAUUACUCCUUUUUUAGUACGGUGUUAUAAGAGCAUAAAAGAUUAUGUUUAUAAAUUAAAUUGUUAAAUUUUAUUUUUCCGUCGUCAUUCAUGAUUUUUAAUUUUUAAAAGAGCAAAAUUUGUUUUUGAGAAUCUUAAAAUAAAUCCAUGUAUUAACGCUAUGUGUAUAUGUUCCUUUGUGGUUCAGUGAUUUUAAAUGAAAAAUUUUAAUUUUCUCAAUUAAAAGCUUCAGUUCAUAUUAAAAAAAAUUCAAUAUUAAAUAAAUAAAAUUUAAUAUUAAAUAAAUAUAGCAUAAAAUUAAAAAAGUAAAGAAAAAUGACGCUCAGAAUAAUGAUUAAACCAUCUUCGAAGUAGGAUUUUAUCUUGGUUAAACCAUUACCACUAGAAUUGUUAAUGAAGUUACCAGUUUCUUUGGAGUUUCGUGAAUUCAAUUCAUCUUUCAUCAUUGGGUUAUUAUUGUUCAGCGGUUGUUCAACUUAAUUUUAUCUUAAUAGAACUUCAGUAAGAUUAUGCCCGACUUAAUAUCUUUACGUUGAGUUACCAGUUCUUUAGAAUUUUGCGAGCUCAAUUGAGCGGAUUAUUGUUCAGCGGUUGUUGAACUUAAUUUUAUCUUACCAAACCGACUUUAAACCAGUAUUAGUUUGCAGGUGCACUUUGCAUUUCUGGAAUCUCAAUUACGAAUUUACGAUCAUCGCCUGUUCAAUUUUAUUCCUAUUUGGCUUGAUGCUCUCAGCAAUCGAAACGCAUAAGCGCCAGUUACAAGAGACCAGGAGUUUACGUGGUUCGGUCAAAUGACCUACAUCCACGGGAACAAUAAUAAAAGCAUUCCACUAUAAGAAUCCACAGUACAAUCUUUGCAAUACAGAGUGAAAACAGAAAAGGAAAACGCUAAAGAGAAAACGGCUAAACCAUUUCUCUUGGCUGUAGGCAAAUCUUCCUCCAUGAUGCGAUAAAAUACCUGAAACAUAUCCUAUACACACGAGCACAACAUAUAUCCGCUCUACUUGAAAACAUUGGAAUCAGAAGCAAUGUAAAGCAACUCGGACGCAUUUUAUUAGGCAAGAACAUAAUCCAAAUAGCAACUUGGGUCAAAACAGCAGAUUUCAAGUUCAGCGUGCAAGAAGACAUACCCAUUUAAAUAGAUCAGCAUGCAUAUACACAACGACGACAAAAUAAUGGAGUUGUGUCCAAAGCAGCUUAGCAACAGAACUGAACCACCAAUAACCUUCGAUAAUAUUGCAUCAAUUAUCGCAAAAUCCACCUUCAAAAGGUCACCAAGCAUCCCAGAAAGAACUGAAUUAAAACGAGAGUCGAUGAGGAUAACAAUAGUUGAGAAACAAUGCAUAAACAUAAACACCACACCCUUCUACCAGUCGUAUACUGUUGGAACCAACACAACUCGUACAUUGCAACAUUUAUUUUAGCGCUGAUCAGAGCCUCCGAAAUACCUUCCUAGUACCCCAUUCAAAAUCAAACAAUGCGUAUCAACCAUUGCACACCCCGCAAAAGAAACCAUCAGGAACAUAUAAAAAAGGCCUAAAAAUCACAACUGCAUGGCGACACUAUCACCCAUUCAGACCCAAAUAGAAAUCCAAAUCCCAAAAAAUCACUGGAAUAGAAGAUAUACAUAAAAUUUACUGCAAAACUGCAAGAGAUAACUGCACAAGAAUGCUCCUUCAAAACUCAAAAAGCAUAGAAAUUGACUUGUAACAACCACCAAAUAGCACCAACCAUUCUGUAGUGUCAGAAGUUAAGAAUACACACACAGAAGGGCUACUUACAAGGGCCAGUAAAACAAAUUUCAUAAACAAAUCCACGAAAAAGACGAAACGGCUUUCCAAGACGAAAGUGAAAAACACAGGUGAGCAGAAAAUGCAGACCUUAAAAACAUCGUUCUGCUUUUACUUCUUCUGCUAGAGAAGAUGAGGGGUGCACUUGAACCAUGGCAUACUACAGCAACCACUACAUUUGCACAUGGAAAGUAUCUUCACCAGACUACAGAUAUCAAAUAACAAUAAAGAUGCAAGACAGAGACAAGAAUCAAAGAAUCAAAACCAAUUAUCCUGCGCCCAGGAAAAAAACCACCAUAACUGCUGUAGAACCACCAAUCACCCCAACCAUUCCCUGAACACCCUUUUCUCUGCAUACAAGAGUACUCACUCAAACUGCACAGAAGUUAGUCCCCAAUUCUCCAAACAAGAGAAAAAUACAAAAGGCAUAUCAGAAAAGUUCAUAUUUCAGAAACAGCUACCAACUCCUGAAUGCCACUGUGAUCUUCGUUCCCCCAAGAUAGAAAUCAGCCAAAAAUGGGAUUCGCGAACUACACAGAAACAAGUUCGCAAAAAAUGAUAGUAAACCUCAAUAAAAAAAAAACUUCAUAAUUCAUCAUGAAUUAUUAAACUCCUGAACCCUUUGCUACCACGGUAAUAUCCAAAUCCCUAGCAACAAGAACAUUCCCUCACCAAAAUUCACCUGAGGCUACAACAAAAUUCCAUGCAAAGUUAAGAGGCAAUCAAGUCCCCCGAGGAGGAAAAUUAAUAUAGAUGAAUAAGAGCAUCAUUUCCAUUUCAAACUUCAGUUACUUACUGUGCUAACCUACAUUAUAAAAUUUGAGGUAUUUUCACAAAGAAUACUACUAACUUGACAAAUCACAAAGAACUGAAUAGAGAUCUUCAAACCAAGAAGCAUAUAAUCAUAACACAAAACAAAUGACCAUGUCUAACCGGGUGUAUCUGACCACCUUAAGAUCCUGCAUUCAAAAUAAAUGUAGAAGUAAUCCAGACAAGAACCGCAUGCAAUCAAUAAGCAGAAAAGGACGAUUCACAGAUGUAGAAGAGUAGAAUAGAUGCGAGUGUUUCUAGUGUAUUCUUUUGUUUGUUGUGUGUGGUGUUGGGGGUAGAAGUCACCAGUUGUGCUGUAAAUCUUUCACUACUCCAAAGUGAUGCUAAGCUGAUUAUUUAAAACCAUAGAAGGAAUUGUGGUAGUGAGCUGAAUAUUUAAAACCCAUAGAAAGUCGAAAGAGAGGUUAAGUUGAAGUGAGAUGGUAAGCUGAAUUAUUUAAAACCCAUAGGAAGUCGAAAGAGAUGUUAAAUUGAACAUUUAAAAUCCAAAUGCAAAUCCCAGCUCCUGCCAAAUAUAACUAGAAAAAUGGACAAGAUUAAGGUGAAAAUACAGAAAAAUUAUAAUAACCAGUUAAAAGUCACCAGUUAAACUUAGGUCUUCAAGACCAAAAUCCAAUUACAGAUCCCAGAUACUGCUGAAUAUGAGUGCCAAAUGUUAGAAGAGAGAGAGAAAAAGUCAAGUUGAAAAUCCAAAGAAAGAAAAAGCUUUUAAUAUAGAUCCAAACAAAAGCUUUAAAAACCCGGCCCAGUUAUACUCAAAUACUUCAAUACUCCAAAGUGACGUUGAGUUGAACAUUUAAAUUCCAAUUGCAAAUCCCAGCCAAACACAAGACAGUACCAUAGAAGAACAACAGAGAGAUAAAAACCCAAAAAAAAUUUUAAUAACCAGUUAGAAGUCACCAGUUACACUUAGAUCCUUCAACACCUAAACCUGCUGAAUAUAUUAGCCAAAUGUAGAAGAUCGGAN